UUGAACGCUGGCGGCCGGCCUAACACAUGCAAGUCGAGCGGAUGAAGGGAGCUUGCUCCUGGAUUCAGCGGCGGACGGGGGAGUAAUGCCUAGGAAUCUGCCUGGUAGUGGGGGAUAACGUCCGGAAACGGGCGCUAAUACCGCAUACGUCCUGAGGGAGAAAGUGGGGGAUCUUCGGACCUCACGCUGUCAGAUGAGCCUAGGUCGGAUUAGCUAGUUGGGGGGGUAAAGGCCUACCAAGGCGACGAUCCGUAACUGGUCUGAGAGGAUGAUCAGUCACACUGGAACUGAGACACGGUCCAGACUCCUACGGGAGGCAGCAGUGGGGAAUAUUGGACAGUGGGCGAAAGCCUGAUCCAGCCAUGCCGCGUGUGUGAAGAAGGUCUUCGGAUUGUAAAGCACUUUAAGUUGGGAGGAAGGGCAGUAAGUUAAUACCUUGCUGUUUUGACGUUACCAACAGAAUAAGCACCGGCUAACUUCGUG
rnacentral:rRNA from 1 species